CCUGGUCUGGCUGGUCCCCUAUACCUGGUCUGACUGGUCCCCUAUACCUGGUCUGACUGGUCCCCUAUACCUGGUCUGGCUGGUCCCCUAUACCUGGUCUGGCUGGUCCCCUAUACCUGGUCUGGUAGGAGAAUGUAGAUUAGGUGUGGACCACUACCGUCUUCGGAGGUCUGAUUGGUUAUACACUUUUGCCCCAGAACACCUGAUUAAACUAAUUUGCAUUCCAAACUGAAGCCCAUGAUUUGUUGAUUAUUGCAGUCAGGUGUGUUAGCUGGGGCUGGAGUGUGUCACCAAUCAGGCUCUGAGGACUGGAGCUUUUGCUACAGAGGAACAUGAGUGCUGUGUACUUUUAUUUAAGUACAUGGUCUCUUUCACAAGCCCUGCAUCUACAAUUUCAUAGAAAAUAUCAAAAAAUAUAAUACAAUAUAAAACCAGUCAAAUACAGCACAACACAAAUACUCAAGAAAAACAAUAAAAUUCCUCAAUAAAAAGGUGCCAGAAUAUCCUAUUGUAAUGUGUUGUGUAGUUGGUUCCAGCAACGAGGUGCUUUAAAACUAAAACGUUUGAUGGAGACCCCAGGAACCUCCAAAAGUUAAGCAACCUUGUGAACGUGUUUGCUUUCACGUUUGAAAAAAUAUUUUCACGGCAACGUUAGGUUACGUCAGAAGCUUGUGUAGUAGUGCUUUGUAAAUAAAGGGGAGUAAAUGAGGUGAUCUUCUGGGCUUUAAUGAGGACCAGCAGGAUGCAGUAGUGAGUAUUAAAACUGUCCCCUGUGAUAAAGCGACGGACGCCAUGGUAGACGGCAUCCAAAGGUUUAAGAGUAGUGGCUGAUGCAUUCUGGUAAAUGGUGUCACCAUAGCCAAGACCUGGCAGGAAAGGUGACUGUACAAUCUGCUUCCUGAGGCAAGAUCUUUUUCUUGUUAAAGAAGCCCACUUUAUAUCUGAGCUCUUUAACUAGCUCAUCUGUAUGUUUUUAAGCAUUAAGUCUGUCAAUCCAAAUGCCCAGAUAUUUAUAGGUGGGAACCCGAUCGAUACGAGAACCAGACAAUUAUUAAAUAUGUAGUCCAACUGAUUUUUUCUUUUUGCGAGAAUUAGAGAACAACGUAAAUAUAGUCUUGCCUGCUUUACGUAUGUUAUGGUAACCAUUGCAUCAUUCUUCUGUUACCAAGGGGAUGAAUGUGAUGUGAAGGGCAUAUAUAAAAAUUUCACCGCAGAUGCAGAAGUGCGACAUCGGCAGAUGUGCGGUGGAUUGAGACUCAUAGCUGCCGAUGUCUCACUUCUGCAUCUGCGGUGAAAGGAGGCAGAGCUACAGCUGUGUUUGUUAGACCAUGAGACGUCCAGAAAAUCAGUCUUCUCACGAAAAUGCCGAACGGUUUGGCCUCCAAAAAUAUUAUGAUCAGAUUCUCACAAACACAUUUGGUGUUCUCCGUUUUGCUCUACGGCCCCCAAAAGAGUCUUGGGACUCGUCUACAUUUGUCUAUCUAGAGCUGUAGUGGGGCUGUGUUGAUGUGUGAGAGAGAGAGAGACGUUGUCUAUCUAGAGCUGUAGUGGGGCUGUGUUGAUGUGAGAGAGAGAGAGAGAGACGUUGUCUAUCUAGAGCUGUAGUGGGGCUGUGUUGACGUGAGAGAGAGAGACGUUGUCUAUCUAGAGCUGUAGUGGGGCUGUGUUGACGUGAGAGAGAGAGAUGUUGUCUAUCUAGAGCUGUAGUGGGGCUGUGUUGAUGUGUGAGAGAGAGAGAGACGUUGUCUAUCUAGAGCUGUAGUGGGGCUGUGUUGACGUGAGAGAGAGAGACGUUGUCUAUCUAGAGCUGUAGUGGGGCUGUGACGAGAGAGAGAGAGACGUUGUCUAUCUAGAGCUGUAGUGGGGCUGUGACGAGAGAGAGAGAGAUGUUGUCUAUCUAGAGCUGUAGUGGGGCUGUGUUGACGUGAGAGAGAGAGACGUUGUCUAUCUAGAGCUGUAGUGGGGCUGUGUUGACGUGAGAGAGAGAGAGAGAGACGUUGUCUAUCUAGAGCUGUAGUGGGGCUGUGCUGUCAUAGGAUUAAAACUAGAUCCUGUCAACAUGCUGCAUUAAAGACAUUCAGAGGCUGACGACCCACACUGGUGUGGUUAUCGACACCUUUACAAUACUCUCAAUACUCUCAAUCUGCUGCAUGUUUUUACACACUUGUUUCAAUUCAUUCACUUGUUAUAAGAGAUUCAAUCUUAUCAAUCUUAGGUAGCCUAGUGGUUAGAGUGUAGAGGUGGCAGGUAGCCUAGUGGUUAGAGUGUAGAGGUGGCAGGUAGCCUAGUGGUUAGAGUGUAGGGGCGGCAGGUAGCCUAGUGGUUAGAGUGUAGGGGCGGCAGGUAGCCUAGUGGUUAGAGUGUAGGGACGGUAGGUAGCCUAGUGCUUAGAGUGUAGGGACGGCAGGUAGCCUAGUGGUUAGAGUGUAGGGGUGGCAGGUAGCCUAGUGGUUAGAGUGUAGGGGUGGCAGGUAGCCUAGUGGUUAGAAUGUAGGGGUGGCAGGUAGCCUAGUGGUUAGAGUGUAGAGGUGGCAGGUAGCCUAGUGGCUAGAGUGUAGGGGUGGCAGGGUAGACUAGUGGUUAGAGUGUAGAGGUGGCAGGUAGCCUAGUGGUUAGAGUGUAGGGGUGGCAGGUAGCCUAGUGGUUAGAGAGUUGGACUAGUAACUGGAAGGUUGCAAGUUCAAAUCCCCAAGCUGACAAGGUAAAAAACUGUCUUUCUGCCCCUGAACAAGGCAGUUAACCCACUGUUUCCUGGUAGGCCGUCAUUGUAAAUAAGAAUUUGUUCUCAACUGACUUGUCUCGUAAAAUAAAAAGCAUGUUCAUUCGUCAUACAAUAGUUGGAACUUGUUUCCGUUUCUAUCUUUUCAACAACUGUCUUGUUUCUUUACACACAUUUUUGAUGGCGGACUGUGCUAGGAGCAGGAGGUACAUCCUGUCUUUUCAAACGUCCAGAGGAUGUUUUGUGUCGAAGCUGAGAGAUAAUCAGAACGCGAGCUGCUCUGUCAGAGGGCCAGGCAGUCGUUUGGUGUUCAACAUCAAACUGAUCCUGUCAGGCCAGGUGUUCAACAUCAAACAUCAAACUGUCCCUGUCAGGCCAGGUGUUCAACAUCAAACUGUUCCUGUCAGGCCAGGUGUUCAACAUCAAACUGAUCCUGUCAGGCCAGGUGUUCAACAUCAAACUGAUCCUGUCAGGCCAGGUGUUCAACAUCAAACUGAUCCUGUCAGGCCUGGUGUUCAACAUCAAACUGAUCCUGUCAGGCCAGGUGUUCAACAUCAAACUGAUCCUGUCAGGCCAGGUGUUCAACAUCAAACUGUUCCUGUCAGGCCAGGUGUUCAACAUCAAACUGUUCCUGUCAGGCCAGGUGAUCAACAUCAAACUGAUCCUGUCAGGCCAGGUGUUCAACAUCAAACUGAUCCUGUCAGGCCAGG
ensembl:lncRNA